GGAUGAAAGCAGCGGAUCAAACAAAAGCCGGUCUCAACGCAUGACGUGUGCCCCAGCAGAAGCAGAGGCGGUGGUUGAUGGGAUGGGCGUCUCCUCAUGCUGGCUCAGAGGCGGAGGCCGUCGCCGCGUGGGGCCGUCCGGCUCCUGAUAGGAGGGCCGCUAUCCUAGCGGACUCGAUCAGAUACGCGUCAUCCGCCGUCAUUCGUAUUCCCCUUCUCUCUCCCUCGUUCUCGUGGUAGCUGAGAUCAAGCAGAAGACGAAGAAGAAGAAGAACAAUGCAAGAGAAGGAAGACAUUUUUUAUAUCCUUCUCCGCAGGGCUUCUUAAGAUUCAUCAGAGCUCAUCAUGUCGGACAUGGAUGUCGAUAGACAUAUGAACCAAAAUGCGGAGACUGCCGUGCCAUCAUCUCAGCAGGAGGAGGAAGCAGUCAAGAAAAAAGAUGGAGGAAUUUUACCCAAAAAGACCACCAGUCAUAUCCGAGCAGGCUGGGCUUUAGGGAAGGUAUCAUUAUCAGCUCAUACAAAACUAUUUCGAGCUAAGACGCUAUGAGGCCACUUCCUCUGGUUCGACUAGAUUGUGAAAUUACAGCAGGGGGAACUUGCUCAUAAGCCCAAAGAAUCCCUUGAGGCACUCCGACCAAAGUUGCAGCCCACACCACAUCUGCAAGUACAUUCUCGUCGCACAGCCUAUGCACACUCUGAUAGCAAAGAGGGAGGAAGUGCUACUUCAGAGGAUACCUAGGAUGACAAUGUUAACGAUCAGUGAUUUCAAGUUGCCGAUUCCGUCGACCUUGUCUCUCGACAGCUACCUUCUUCCUGUAUGAGAAAAGAAGUUUGAGAUCAUUUUCAGAUUCCACAAAUAAAGAACGAGGGUGGUUUUGUAUUUGUACGAAAGGUUACCAUUGUGACAUAAUUUUGUAGUGCACAAAUAGAUGCUUCUUUAUGCUAUAAUUAUCAUCUAUUACGAUGAUAGAUUUUGAUUGUCCGAUAUAUCAAAGGUUUCAAAACCAAUUUGGUUCAA